ACGUGUUGGCUAAGCAAAAAGGAGUCAGUGAAAAGAAAAAACUGACCACAACUUUUUUCCAUGCCGUACCAAUGUGUCUAUCUGUAUGUGUGUACAGCUUUUGAAAAAUGGGAAUCAUUCUGCACAAUUUGUUCUUUUAUUUCUUACUUAACAGGUAUGAGGAUGACUUUCUGUUGAGCUAUCUACACUUUCUCCUUCUGGGGCCUGGUCAACCAGCUGAUGUAACUCUGGAAGUGACAGGCAGCCUCAAGUGUGGUUCUCCCGCCCGUCGAUUGGACUCUGCAGGAAGCCCCGCCUCGUCAACUCAGCCAAGGGCUGCCGUUGGUCUGGCUCCGGUGAAUGGCGGGCCUUAGCUCCGCCCCGGCCGUCCGCUGCGCUGCC